rnacentral:rRNA from 1 species
UACGGAGGAUCCAAGCGUUAUCCGGAUUUACUGGGUUUAAAGGGUGCGUAGGUGGGAUGACAAGUCAGUGGUGAAAACCUGUAGCUUAACUACAGACCUGCCAUUGAUACUGUCAUUCUUGAGUGUAUUUGAUGUAAGUGGAAUGUGUCAUGUAGCGGUGAAAUGCUUAGAUAUGACACAGAACACCCAUUGCGAAGGCAGCUUACAAAACUACAACUGACACUGAGGCACGAAAGCGUGGGGAUCAAACAGG